UGACCUCGGAUCAGGUAGGGAUACCCGCUGAACUUAAGCAUAUCAAUAAGCGGAGAA
rnacentral:rRNA from 2 species